rnacentral:lncRNA from 1 species
GGAAAAUCAAACCCUGCAGGAAUUGGAAACCCAAUCUUCAUGCAAUUUCUGAAGACCGUCCAAUUUCUGAUCUAAACCAACGGACGGCCAGAUCUGAUCGUAACCAUAAAGUCAAACCUAAAUCUACUACUCAGGUUGUACCGCCACCAAGUCACCUUGACAACUACUGGUAAGUCUCAGUAUGAAUAAAGAGGAGACGUUUAAAUUAAUAAAAAUUUUAAUUGUCGUAUUUUUUUUAUGAUGAUGGCAACAAAUUUUAUGCGUUAAUUUGCAGGAAAUCGAACCAUUCGAUGGCGUUGCCAACAUUCUCCCCGACUCCAUUUAUGAUCUGAGUUUGAUUCGGACUGCACGUUCCUUGUCUUUUUCAUGAACAUUUUAGCGAAG